rnacentral:lncRNA from 1 species
UUAAUAAUGAUUCCUUGUCUAAUGUUGACUUCUCUGUCUUGUCACUUUUAUAGAUUUUCCCAAACUUUCAAAUAUUGUUAUUGAACCAAGUGAUGCAGAAUAUGGAGAAAGUGUAAAUUUAACUUGUGAAGUCACAGAUUUCAAUCCUAAAAACAUUUGUACUCAGUGGUUCUUGGGAGAUAAUUCACUAAGGAACGGUGUGGUCACAGAGGAUUUAGAUAUGGCCUGUAAUGGUUGUUACAAAUUAACUUCCGUGUUUGAACUAAAAGCUACUGCUUCAGUUUGUGAUAAGACCAUUUGUUUCAGAGUGAGUCAUGCAAGUUUGGCAAAACCUAUUACAAGAGAAGUGUAUCUAAAACUUCCAGUCAAACGGCCCGUUUUGUCUGAAAUAAAGGCGACCCCAGAUCAUCAGAAUAUUUUUGAAAUUUCUAUAUCACAAUUUGCACCUCCUGAUAUACAAGUCAGAUGGUACCAAGGCUGGAGACAAAUUUCUGAAAAUAUCAAUCCCAGGAAUAUUGAGAUUGGAGAAGAUCACUUAUGUUAUUUUGUUAGUAAAGUACACUUAGAUGCCCAAACACUGGCCUUUGGGAAUACAAUACGAUGUGAAGUUAAACAUUCAACAUCUACUGAGGAUAAAAGCUUAAUACUGAAUCCAACAGAGGGAAGAAAGGAAGUAUCUAACUAUAAUGGAUCUAAAACCGCAUCUGGCACAGGAUUGAACUAUGCUGUCUUUUGGAAGAAAGCAUAAAAGUUUCCCAAACUAUGUCAGUUCUCAUCUUGCUGGUGUGGUAGAUGCUAUCUAUAUUAGAAGACAGAAACUCUGAAAAAAUAUAUCAAAAUUCAAAAAGUGAGCCACAAAUAGGGAUGACUUAUUUUAACAAGCAAACUUUUUUUCUUCAAAUUCCUGCGUGAUGGCCACACAUUAUUCUGUUUGUAUGAGACAUACUGAUAGCACCAUUUUAAAGCUAAGAGACUGACAGACUGAAGAUAAUGAAAAAUCGUUUGAUGAUCUGUCCAUAAAUGGCUCUAGUCCAUAAAUGUUUGUACCAUGUUGUACCACAUUUUUUUUUUAAAUCAGAAGAUUCUUAGUAUGGUUGCUAGAGUGGAUUCUUCUCAGAAGCAGUGGCAUCUGCAAUGGCGCUCUUCCCUUCCUUAUACUGACAGCUAAGAGAUUUAAGUAAGAAAUUGACAAAAAUCCACUUUGACAUCAAAAGGCAUUUAAGCUGAAAAUAAAAUGUCAAAGCAAUAACA